AUUGAACGCUGGCGGCAGGCUUAACACAUGCAAGUCGAGCGAGCGGCGGACGGGUGAGUCAUGUAUGGGAAACUGCCUGAGGGAGGGGGAUAACUACUGGAAACGGUCGCUAAUACCGCAUACCAUCAGAUGUGCCCUGAUGGGAUUAGCUAGUAGGUGGGGUAAUGGCUCACCUAGUCGACGAUCACCAGCUGGUCUGAGAGGAUGACCAGCCACACUGGAACUGAGACACGGUCCAGACUCCUACGGGAGGCAGCAGUGGGGAAUAUUGCACAAUGGGCGCAAGCCUGAUGCAGCCAUGCCGCGUGAGUGAAGAAGGCCUUCGGGUUGUAAAGCACUUUCAGCGAGGAGGCGUUACUCGCAGAGGAAGCACCGGCUAACUCCGUGCCAGCAGCCGCGGUAAUUC
rnacentral:rRNA from 1 species